UGGGGAAUAUUGGACAAUGGGGGGAACCCUGAUCCAGCCAUGCCGCGUGUGUGAAGAAGGUCUUAUGGUUGUAAAGCACUUUAAGCGAGGAGGAGGGUACUGGUAUUAAUACUACCAGCUACUGGACGUUACUCGCAGAAUAAGCACCGGCUAACUCUGUGCCAGCAGCCGCGGUAAUACAGAGGGUGCGAGCGUUAAUCGGAUUUACUGGGCGUAAAGCGUGCGUAGGCGGCUAAUUGAGUCGGAUGUGAAAUCCCCGAGCUUAACUUGGGAAUUGCUUUCGAUACUGGUUAGCUAGAGUGUGGGAGAGGAUGGUAGAAUUCCAGGUGUAGCGGUGAAAUGCGUAGAGAUCUGGAGGAAUACCGAUGGCGAAGGCAGCCAUCUGGCCUGACACUGACGCUGAGGUACGAAAGCAUGGGGAGCAAACAGG
rnacentral:rRNA from 1 species